rnacentral:rRNA from 1 species
UACGAAGGGUGCUAGCGUUGCUCGGAAUCACUGGGCGUAAAGCGCACGUAGGCGGAUUGCUAAGUCAGGGGUGAAAUCCUGGAGCUCAACUCCAGAACUGCCUUUGAUACUGGCAAGCUUGGAGUCCGGGAGAGGUGAGUGGAACUGCGAGUGUAGAGGUGAAAUUCGUAGAUAUUCGCAAGAACACCAGUGGCGAAGGCGGCUCACUGGCCCGGUACUGACGCUGAGGUGCGAAAGCGUGGGGAGCGAACAGG